rnacentral:rRNA from 1 species
UAAUACGUAGGGGGCCAGCGUUGUCCGGAUUUACUGGGCGUAAAGAGCGCGUAGGCGGUCUGAUCAGCGGAGGGUGAAAUACCGGGGCUCAACUCCGGUGCUGCUCUCCGAACUGUCAGACUAGAGUGCGGGAGAGGGCAGUGGAAUUCCUGGUGUAGCGGUGGAAUGCGUAAAUAUCAGGAGGAACACCUGUGGCGAAGGCUGCUGCCUGGAACGUUACUGACGCUGAGGCGCGAAAGCUAGGGGAGCGAACGGG